rnacentral:misc_RNA from 1 species
GAUGAAGAACGUAGCGAAAUGCGAUAAGUAAUGUGAAUUGCAGAAUUCAGUGAAUCAUCGAAUCUUUGAACGCACAUUGCGCCCGCUAGUAUUCUGGCGGGCAUGCCUGUCCGAGCGUCAUUUCAACCCUCAAGCCCCCGGGCUUGGUGUUGGGGAUCGGCGAGCCUCCGCGCCCGCCGUCCCCUAAAUCUAGUGGCGGUCUCGCUGUAGCUUCCUCUGCGUAGUAGCACACCUCGCACUGGGAAACAGCGCGGCCACGCCGUUAAACCCCCUACUUCUGAACGUUUGACCUCGGAUCAGGUAGGAAUACCCGCUGAACUUAAGCAUAUCAAUAAGCGGAGGA